CAAAGUGAACAGAUUUCAGCAGGCAGCGAGGAACUUGGCUCCCCACUUCAGAGGACGGAGCCCCUGAAAACUUUAUGCAGAGCUUGGAAAACCUGCCCCUGCCUCAGGCUUCUUCUUCCUGCUUCUGAGAUGGCUCACUGUGACACCCUGUGAAAUGGCAAAAUCAACCCCAAGUAGAAAUUCAUGGUUCGUGUCAACAGCACACAAAUAAUCAUCUCAGAUCGCUUCAGUGUUUCAUGUGUCUGAAUCUAGCCCAAGAUGGUGGCUUCUUCACUGCACACUCCAAGGACGAUGACAUUUCCCCUGACCCAGUACAAAGCUACCCAGGGGCCAUCCAUUCAAACAGCACUGCAGCAGUAGUUCAGGGGGUUCGUACAAAUGAUAGCAUUAAUCUCCAUGACAAAACUAAAGCAUUGUUUGCAUUUCUUAAUCUCUUGAUAUUUUCACGGAUGAUACAAAAGCAAUCAUGGCUAUUGAUCUUCUCUCACAUAUCAAGUCAGUGACACUACUAGACUAGUAAUCAUUACUUUCCUCACUACCAGGCAUUCAAAGGGGAAAAAGGCCACAUUCCUUAAGAAAUUCCUUGAAGCAGUAAAAAAUGAUUACAUUUUUUACAUCUGAGACCUAGGAUAUGAGCGAGCACAUUUCAAGGCACUGCUACCAAACCACAAAACCACUAUUAAAUAAAAAUAUCAAAAUAUGAAGCUACUGUUUCUCGACACAGCCUCCACCUAGCUCUAUACACAUCUGGAGGUGGCGUUUCCAUCUAACACGUCCCUAAAGAAUUCUGCACUUUCGUUCUUUGAUUUACACUGUGUCAAAAUGUGUGGCAUCUUCGACAGUUUCAUAUUGUGCUCCUUUUCAACAUUCUUUGAGUUUGAGGAACGAAAGGAAGUCUAAAGGGGCAGAA